UCUCAGCUUCCCGCGACUCCCACCUCCA
rnacentral:piRNA from 1 species